AUUGAACGCUGGCGGCAGGCUUAACACAUGCAAGUCGAGCGGAGCGAGGGUGCUUGCACCUUAGCUUAGCGGCGGACGGGUGAGUAAUGCUUAGGAAUCUGCCUAUUAGUGGGGGACAACAUUCCGAAAGGAAUGCUAAUACCGCAUACGCCCUACGGGGGAAAGCAGGGGAUCUUCGGACCUUGCGCUAAUAGAUGAGCCUAAGUCGGAUUAGCCAGUUGGUGGGGUAAAGGCCUACCAAGGCGACGAUCUGUAGCGGGUCUGAGAGGAUGAUCCGCCACACUGGGACCGAGACACGGCCCAGACUCCUACGGGAGGCAGCAGUGGGGAAUAUUGGACAAUGGGCGGAAGCCUGAUCCAGCCAUGCCGCGUGUGUGAAGAAGGCCUUUUGGUUGUAAAGCACUUUAAGCGAGGAGGAGGCUACUAGUACUAAUACUACUGGAUAGUGGACGUUACUCGCAGAAUAAGCACCGGCUAACUCUGUGCCAGCCGCCGCCGUAAUAC
rnacentral:rRNA from 1 species